AGUGAACGCUGGCGGUAGGCCUAACACAUGCAAGUCGAACGGCAGCACAGUAAGAGCUUGCUCUUACGGGUGGCGAGUGGCGGACGGGUGAGGAAUACAUCGGAAUCUACUUUUUCGUGGGGGAUAACGUAGGGAAACUUACGCUAAUACCGCAUACGACCUACGGGUGAAAGCAGGGGAUCUUCGGACCUUGCGCGAUUGAAUGAGCCGAUGUCGGAUUAGCUAGUUGGCGGGGUAAAGGCCCACCAAGGCGACGAUCCGUAGCUGGUCUGAGAGGAUGGACCGCCCAAAUGGGACUUGGACACGGGCCCAGAUCCCUAGGGGGGGAAGAGGUGGGGAUUUUUGGCAAUGGGGGGAAAGCUUAAUCCAGCCAUACGGGGUGGGUGAAGAAGGCCUGCGGGUGGAAAAGCCUUUUUGUUGGGAAAGAAAAGCAGCAGGUUAAUCCCCCGCUGUGUGGCCGGUACCAAAAGAAUAAGCACGGGCUACUUUCGU
rnacentral:rRNA from 1 species